AAGCAGUUGAAGGAGGAUUUAGCAGUAAGAGGGGAAUAGAGCGCCCCCCUGAAAACGGCCCUGAAGCGCGCACACACCGCCCGUCACUCUCCCCAACAUAAAUAUAUACAAUAAAUAAUAAAUCAUAAAACGCAAGGGGAGGCAAGUCGUAACAUGGUAAGUGUACCGGAAGGUGCACUUGGAAAAACC
rnacentral:rRNA from 1 species